CCGUAAAAAAAGAAGGAUAUUCGAACAAAUUGUAAUUCGACAAUCAAAGGGCGGAUUAAUUUUAAGAAAAUAAUAACAAUAAUAAUAAAAAAAGAAAAGGAUCAUUCAUAGAAAAUUUUUUACUAAUCAGAAAUCUUCACUUUCAGGCGCGAUUGAAUCCGAGAUGAAGCUUGGCUCGUUCAACCGAAUCGAGGUUUCGCACAAACCCCCGUUGGAUCGUUGAGUCGAUGCCGGAUAAAUUUAUUUUAAGUGUCCUUCCGAUACCUCGAUUCACCAUGCUCGGUCGAAAGGAGUAAUAGCAACUGAGAGACUCGUCUGGCAAGUGUUCUCGUUUGUGGUAAGAAUUCUUCGUUUCUUUCUUUUCUCCUCUUUUCUUUUUUCUCUUUCUUUCUUUUUUUUCCAGUGACCCGACGCUGUGUCAGACGCGAUUGAAAAAAGAAAAAAAAAGGAAAAGAAGGUAGAGGCGCGAGAAGAAAGGGAUUUCCGGGCGCAUAUGAAAUGCACGAGUGACGGGAGGGGAGAAAAAACAUCCGUCACUUUUAUUUAUUUUCUAGAGAGGAAGAUAUAUAUAUACAUGUAUGUAUUUGUACGUGAAAUUUGGAUUUUAUUAUAUAUAAAUUAAAAUUGAACGUGUAAAAUGAUACGGGAAGCAAAGUUUAUUCGUAACAGAGGAUAAAAUACGUACGAGGAUAGAAGGGAUAGAGUUACGAGCGAAAUCAAAUGGAAAAGUUCGAUCGAAAAAAAAGAAAAAAUAAAUAAAUGGAAAGAUAAUAAUUCGUAAAAGAACAACGAUAUCCUUCCUCUUAAAAAUUAUUCCGGAGAGAGAGUAUUUAAAGAGAGAGAAAAAAAGAGAAAUAAAAUUCCAUUUCCUCGAACGAUAUGCUCGUUCUAUUUUUUUUUUUUUCUUUUUCUCCACCAUUGAGCGUUGAAACUUUGAUAAAGCUUCGUAUUAAA
rnacentral:lncRNA from 1 species